rnacentral:lncRNA from 10 species
GAAAAAAUCCCAAAAUCUGGCUCCACUUGAGCUGCGUUUCCCGCUGGCAACAUCAGGAUGGGGGUGGAGUGGCUUCUCUCCUUGGGGACAGAUGCUUUCCAGUUCUUUUAAUCCCCUUCCCCCAACCCUCACUUUGGCUCCCUCCCACCUCUGCUGUGACUGCCUGGACCCCAUAGGCACUAAAGUGUAGAAUUUCCAGUACUUGCACAGAACAAUUAGAAGACAGAUAGAUAAUCAAGUAUAGAAAUGAAACAAAACGCAUGGUGACUUCCAUUUUUAUUCCUUUCUAAAUGAGAUGUCAGUGGGUUACCAUUUCACCCGAAAUGCUAUAUGACUGUUGAAGUCUUUACCUUGAAAGGGGCUGGAGUGCAGUGGCACCAUCUCUGCUCACGGCAACCUUCGUCUCCCAGAUUCAAGCGAUUCUCCUGCCUCAGACUCCCGAGUAGCUGGGAUUACAGGCAUCCGCCACCACGCCCAGGUAAUUUUUGUAUUUAUAGUAGAGAUGGGGUUUCUCCAUGUUAGCCAGCAGCGGUGCUCAGCCAACUUCCUUUUGUUUAUUUAUUUACUUACUUACUUACUUACAGAGUCUCGCUUUGUCCCCCAGGCUGGAGUGCAGUGGUGUGAUCUCGGCUCACUGCAACCUCUGCCUCCAGGUUCAAGCAAUUCUCCUGCCUCAGCCUCCUGAGCAGCUGAGAUUAUAGGCGCCCGCCAUCACACCCGGCUAAUUUUUUGUAUUUUUAGUAGAGACAGGGUUUCACCAUGUUCGCCAGGCUAGUCUUGAACUCCUGACCUCCAGUGAUCCACCCGCCUCGGCCUCCCAAAGUGCUGGAAUUAUAGGUAUGAGCCACGCACCCGGCCCCAACUUCCGUUUAAAAAAUUGUCUUCUGUUGGCCUCAGAUGACAAGGACCCAACUACACAGAAGAAUCUUUGUAGUUUCGCUGGCAUGGUGGCUCA